rnacentral:rRNA from 1 species
GAUGAACGCUGGCGGCGUGCCUAAUACAUGCAAGUCGAGCGAACGGACGAGAAGCUUGCUUCUCUGAUGUUAGCGGCGGACGGGAGAGUAACACGUGGAUAACCUACCUAUAAGUCUGGGAUAACUUCGGGAAACCGGCGCUAAUACCGGAUAAUAUUUUGCACCGCAUGGUUCAAAAGUGAAAGACGGUCUUGCUGUCACUUAUAGCUGGAUCCGCGCUGCAUUAGCUAGUUGGUAAGGUAACGGCUUACCAAGGCAACGAUGCAUAGCCGACCUGAGAGAGUGAUCGGCCACACGGGAGGUGAGACACGGACCAGACUCCUGCGGGAGGCAGCAGUAGGGAAUCUUCCGCAAUGGGCGAAAGCCUGACGGAGCAGCGCCGCGUGAGUGGUGAAGGUCUUCGGAGCGUAAAGCUCUGUUAUUAGGGAAGAACAUAUGUGUAAGUAACUGUGCACAGCGUGACGGUACCUAAUCAGAAAGCCACGGCUAACUACGUG